CACGAAAGUCUCCACCAGCACCGCGACGGGCGUGGCCUCCACACGCGCCGUCACCGCCCCUCCAGAUUUGGUCGUCGUCAAGGGCGUAUCCAUCCAACAGCGUCACCUCCCCUCCAGAUCCGACCGUUGUCAAGGCUGUAUCCAUCCAGCAGUGCGCCGUCAUCCCAAUCAUCACCGUCCACGGCGUCAUCGCCCAGGCCUAGUCUGGGGCCGGCAAGACGUCCAUGAUCUCCCUCUUUGUCUGCCAGGUUAUCGAGACCAACGUCCACGAGGUGUAGGCAUUAGCGACGACAUGGACAGGGGCUUCACUGACAGGAAGAACUUGCUCAUGGACCGCAGGACCAUGGCUCCCAAGAUCGACGACCUCAGUUUCUUACUCGAGGUACCGACCCUGAGGUCCUUCUUGGUGCCACAUGUGAUUUGUGGGCUGCACUUUUGAAUUUGGUAUGAUGAACUGGACUUUGUAAAUGAGCACAUACAUACACUGAACUCCAGAUAAAUGGCAGCUGAAUUUCAAGUACAGGGGACUCUUCUGCCCGAUCACAGUUUUCACACAUUAAUAACUAUAUGGCUCCAUCAGCAUGAAUUCAUUUUUCGGGGGAAAAUUUAAGUGCACAUAGCUGCAAAGAUGUGAAGACCCAUAUCGGUCUUGUUUGAUAUUCUUUGAGUUGGUUUAGAUAGAGAUAAGUGACCUCUUUCAUGUCAAGUGCAUGCGCCAUUUACUA